AGUUGUCCAAAUCACGCAGAACCACGCGAGACCUCAAAACGAUAAGUUAUUGGCAAUAUGGCGGCACAGAGUAGAAUAUUGAUUACGUUUUAAGGGAGGCAGGGGUUUUAGGCAGGAUUUGAUUCAUGAUGUGUGUGUAGAUAUUAAUGUUAGGGGACAAUGUGAGAGUGUACGUUCUAGUAGGAAAACGUAUCAUCUGACCCACACUCCGGAACAGAAGAGGGCGGUAAUGCACCAAUAAUGCCAACCGCAGUUAAACUGGAAAGAAGACGAAUAUGACAGCUUGCUGUGAGAGACAACGGGACAGAUGAGGCACAUAUGUGUUUAUCUGCUGUAGAGUAACUGAUGAAGGAAUGCUACCAUCAAAGGAUUUGUAUCUUUUGUGGUGGAGCAGGACCUGCAAGGAAAGGUGAAAAAGAGGGGAAACCUGAAACAAAGGAAUAAUGUAAUGACUUUUUGUAUUGUGUAUUUUUGUAGGACAUGAACAUGUCUGUAGACUGGUGUGUGCACUGAGGAUGGAGAAGACCACAGCAUCAUCCUGGAAAUGAUCGAGAGUCACAGAUGAGAUGCUCCAUCACUCCAGCUCUUACCGUCUCAUCAGGACCAGAUGCUGCUGUGGUGUCUUCAUCCUCAGUGACCCCAGAGCCAGUGAGAGCAUCUAGAGAAAGACCACAAGACACUGAGGAUGUGAUUUUGGGGCCUACAAUCCCCUGAUCAACCUGGAGAAGAGAGCCUUGCAGUGCAAGGUUGUGGGUUCGAAUACCAGGGAACACAUGGUAAAAACUGUUAGUCUGAAUGCACUGUAGUCGUGCUCAUGGGGUGCAGGCACACGAAAGUUUGGAGCAGACACAGCAGUCAGAUUGUCCUGCACGUGUUCCCCUGCUCUAGCUUCAAGGUUGUGUGGUUCAGAGAGCCGUCAUCAAGGUCUUCCUCAUCCUGUUGCUCAACGACAUCCCCAUUGAGAAGAGUGAGAUUGUGAAGUGCAGCGGCAGAACUGUAUCAGCUGUGUUCAGAUGGCAGGAGGAUGUUGGGUUCACCAUCUGUAAAUACUUGAUUGUUAGAACAAUAAGUUUGAAUGAAGCUUUGUAUCAUGUGUUGUUGACUUGUGCAUGUAUGCAUUUAUUGUGAUGCUAACUUUUAUACAUUAUUUUAAUCAUUUAGACAUAUUUUUGGUUGUCAGUAAAUAAAAUAUAAAUAUUUUA